GACGAACGCUGGCGGCGUGCCUAAUACAUGCAAGUAGAACGCACAGUUUAUACCGUAGCUUGCUACACCAUAAACUGUGAGUUGCGAACGGGUGAGUAACGCGUAGGUAACCUGCCUGGUAGCGGGGGAUAACUAUUGGAAACGAUAGCUAAUACCGCAUAAUAUUGAUUAUUGCAUGAUAAUUGAUUGAAAGAUGCUAUUGCAUCACUACCAGAUGGACCUGCGUUGUAUUAGCUAGUAGGUGAGGUAACGGCUCACCUAGGCGACGAUACAUAGCCGUCCUGAGAGGGUGAUCGGCCACACUGGGACUGAGACACGGCCCAGACUCCUACGGGAGGCAGCAGUAGGGAAUCUUCGGCAAUGGACGAAAGUCUGACCGAGCAACGCCGCGUGAGUGAAGAAGGUUUUCGGAUCGUAAAGCUCUGUUGUAAGAGAAGAACGGGUGUGAGAGUGGAAAGUUCACACUGUGACGGUAUCUUACCAGAAAGGGACGGCUAACUACGUG
rnacentral:rRNA from 1 species